CAGCCGCCACGGUAAUACGAAGGGGGCUAGCGUUGUUCGGAUUUACUGGGCGUAAAGGGCGCGUAGGCGGACUGAUAAGUCAGGGGUGAAAUCCCAAGGCUCAACCUUGGAACUGCCUUUGAUACUGUUUGUCUUGAGUUCGAGAGAGGUAAGUGGAACUGCGAGUGUAGAGGUGAAAUUCGUAGAUAUUCGCAAGAACACCAGUGGCGAAGGCGGCUUACUGGCUCGAAACUGACGCUGAGGCGCGAAAGCGUGGGGAGCAAACAGGAUUAGAUACCCCCGUAGUCCCUGUCUCUUAUAC
rnacentral:rRNA from 1 species